rnacentral:rRNA from 1 species
UACAGAGGUGGCAAGCGUUGUUCGGAAUUACUGGGCGUAAAGGGCGCGUAGGCGGCCUUCUAAGUCAGACGUGAAAUCCCCAGGCUUAACUUGGGAACUGCGUCUGGUACUGGGAGGCUUGAGUGCGGGAGAGGGAUGUGGAAUUCCAGGUGUAGCGGUGAAAUGCGUAGAUAUCAGGAGGAACACCGGUGGCGAAGGCGGUUCUCUGGGCAUUACCUGACGCUGAGGAGCGAAAGUGUGGGGAGCGAACAGG